AUGCUCAUAGCUUGUGUUUUGGUUUUGGUUAUGGUUGUUGCUGCUCAAAACAAUGGAGUAGACACUGUUGAUAAAGCAUCCAACGAUAUGUCUGGAAUGUGGAUGGGUCCUGGUCCUGCACCAACACCGCAAUCUUCUGCUUCUCCACCAGUCCUCACUUAUUCUGCUGCCAUCCUCAUUUUCCUUCCUUUUAUGAUUUCCUUUGUUGUUGCCAAAUGA